UACGUAGGGGGCGAGCGUUGUUCGGAUUUACUGGGCGUAAAGAGCGCGUAGGUGGUUCGAUGAGUCGGAUGUGAAAUCCCUCGGCUUAACCGAGGACCCGCGUCCGAUACUGUCGAACUUGAGUGCAGGAGAGGAGAGCGGAAUUCCCAGUGUAGCGGUGAAAUGCGUAGAUAUUGGGAGGAACACCGGUGGCGAAGGCGGCUCUCUGGACUGUCACUGACACUGAGGCGCGAAAGCUAGGGGAGCAAACGGGAUUAGAUACCCCGGUAGUCCUAGCCGUAAACGAUGGGCACUAGGUGUGGGAGGUAUCGACCCCUUCCGUGCCGCAGCUAACGCAUUAAGUGCCCCGCCUGGGGAGUACGGCCGCAAGGUUGAAACUCAAAGGAAUUGACGGGGGCCCGCACAAGCGGUGGAGCAUGUGGUUUAAUUCGACGCAACGCGAAGAACCUUACCAGGGCUUGACAUCCCGCGAAUCCUGCCGAAAGGCAGGAGUGCCCGCAAGGGAGCGCGGAGACAGGUGGUGCAUGGCUGUCGUCAGCUCGUGUCGUGAGAUGUUGGGUUAAGUCCCGCAACGAGCGCAACCCUCACCCCUUGUUGCUACCAGGUAAAGCUGGGCACUCUAGGGGAACUGCCCCGGUCAACGGGGAGGAAGGCGGGGAUGACGUCAAGUCAUCAUGCCCCUUACGUCCUGGGCUACACACGUGCUACAAUGGCCGGUACAAAGGGAUGCCACACCGUGAGGUAGAGCUAAACCCAAAAAGCCGGUCUAAGUUCAGAUUGGAGUCUGCAACUCGACUCCAUGAAGGAGGAAUCGCUAGUAAUCGCGUAUCAGCACGACGCGGUGAAUACGUUCCCGGGCCUUGUACACACCGCCCGUCACACCACGAAAGCCAGUUGUACUCGAAGUCGCUGAGCUAACCCGCAAGGGAGGCAGGCGCCGAAGGUAUGACUGGUGAUUGGGGUG
rnacentral:rRNA from 1 species